GAGUUUGAUCUUGGCUCAGAACGAACGCUGGCGGCGUGGAUAAGACAUGCAAGUCGAACGGGAGAAUUGCUAGCUUGCUAAUAAUUCUCUAGCGGCGCACGGGUGAGUAACACGUGAGUAACCUGCCCCCGAGAGCGGGAUAGCCCUGGGAAACUGGGAUUAAUACCGCAUAGUAUCGAAAGAUUAAAGCAGCAAUGCGCUUGGGGAUGGGCUCGCGGCCUAUUAGUUAGUUGGUGAGGUAACGGCUCACCAAGGCGAUGACGGGUAGCCGGUCUGAGAGGAUGUCCGGCCACACUGGAACUGAGACACGGUCCAGACACCUACGGGUGGCAGCAGUCGAGAAUCAUUCACAAUGGGGGAAACCCUGAUGGUGCGACGCCGCGUGGGGGAAUGAAGGUCUUCGGAUUGUAAACCCCUGUCAUGUGGGAGCAAAUUAAAAAGAUAGUACCGACAAGAGGAAGAGACGGCUAACUCUGUGCCAGCCGCCGCGGUAAG
rnacentral:rRNA from 1 species